rnacentral:rRNA from 1 species
AUGAGCCUAGGUCGGAUUAGCUAGUUGGUGAGGUAAUGGCUCACCAAGGCUACGAUCCCUAACUGGUCUGAGAGGAUGAUCAGUCACACUGGAACUGAGACACGGUCCAGACUCCUACGGGAGGCAGCAGUGGGGAAUAUUGGACAAUGGGCGAAAGCCUGAUCCAGCCAUGCCGCGUGUGUGAAGAAGGUCUUCGGAUUGUAAAGCACUUUAAGUUGGGAGGAAGGGCAUUAAGCUAAU